AGUUAAUGAGCUUGUAUAAGCAUAUGUUUUGAAAACAUAAGAAAGAAAAGCAAAUUUUCUAUUAACUU
rnacentral:tRNA from 1 species